AGUUCGGAUUGGAGUCUGNAACCCGACUCCAUGAAGCUGGAUUCGCUAGUAAUCGCGCAUCAGCCACGGCGCGGUGAAUACGUUCCCGGGCCUUGUACACACCGCCCGUCAAGCCAUGGAAGCCGGGAGUGCCUGAAGUGCGUGAGCGCAAGCAGCGCCCUAAGGUAAAACCGGUGACUGGGGCUAAGUCGUAACAAGGUACC
rnacentral:rRNA from 1 species